rnacentral:rRNA from 1 species
AUUGAACGCUGGCGGCAGGCCUAACACAUGCAAGUCGAGCGGGAUUUACCUUCGGGUAAUGAGAGCGGCGGACGGGUGAGUAAUGCUUGGGAAUCUACCUAGUAGUGGGGGACAACAGUUGGAAACGACUGCUAAUACCGCAUACGCCCUACGGGGGAAAGGGGGGGAUCUUCGGACCUCUUGCUAUUAGAUGAGCCCAAGUCGGAUUAGCUAGUUGGUGGGGUAAAGGCCUACCAAGGCGACGAUCCGUAGCUGGUUUGAGAGGAUGAUCAGCAACACUGGGACUGAGACACGGCCCAGACUCCUACGGGAGGCAGCAGUGGGGAAUAUUGGACAAUGGGCGCAAGCCUGAUCCAGCCAUGCCGCGUGUGUGAAGAAGGCCCUAGGGUUGUAAAGCACUUUAAGUAGGGAGGAAGGUCUGGUAAUUAAUACUUAUCAGGAUUGACGUUACCUACAGAAUAAGCACCGGCUAACUCCGUGCCAGCCGCCGCUGUAA